rnacentral:rRNA from 1 species
GACGAACGCUGGCGGCGUGCUUAACACAUGCAAGUCGAACGGAAAGGCCCCUUUGGGGGUACUCGAGUGGCGAACGGGUGAGUAACACGUGAGUAACCUGCCCUUGACUUCGGGAUAACUUCCGGAAACUGGGGCUAAUACCGGAUAGGAAUCCUUGCUGCAUGGUGGGGGUUGGAAAGCUUCGGCGGUUUUGGAUGGACUCGCGGCUUAUCAGCUUGUUGGUGGGGUAGUGGCUUACCAAGGCUUUGACGGGUAGCCGGCCUGAGAGGGCGACCGGCCACAUUGGGACUGAGAGACGGCCCAGACUCCUACGGGUGGCAGCAGGGGGGAAGAUUGCACAAUGGGCGGAAGCCUGAUGCAGCAACGCCUCGGGCGGGAUGACGGCCUUCGGGUUGUAAACCGCUUUCAGCAGGGGCGAAGCUUGUGGUGACGUUACCUGCAGAAGAAGCACCGGCUAACUACGUG